rnacentral:lncRNA from 1 species
GUUUUUGGAGAAGGUGAGUAUGAUGGUGGUGGUGGAGAACUGUAGACAUAUGGUGGUGGAGGAGAUUUGUAGUCAACCUUAGGGGAAGGUGAGUAGUAUGGUGGUGGAGGAGAUUUGUAGUCAACCUUAGGGGAAGGUGAGUAGUAUGGUGGUGGUGGUGAACUAUAGACGUAUGGUGGUGGUGGAGAUUUGUAAUCUACCUUAGGGGCAGGUGAGUAGUAUGGUGGUGGGGGUGAGCUGUAGACAUACGGUGGUGGGGGAGAUUUGUAGUCUACCUUCGGGGAAGGUGAGUAGUAUGGUGGUGGUGGUGAGCUAUAGACGUACGGUGGUGGAGGAGAUUUGUAGUCUACUUUAGGGGAAGGUGAGUAGUAUGGUGGUGGUGGUGAGCUGUAGACGUACGGUGGUGGGGGAGAUUUGUAGUCUACCUUAGGGGAAGGUGAGUAGUAUGGUGGUGGUGGUGAGCUGUAGACGUACGGUGGUGGGGGAGACUUGUAAACUACUUUAGGAGAAGGAGAGUAGUAUGGUGGUGGUGGUGAGCUGUAGACGUACGGUGGUGGGGGAGACUUGUAGACUACCUUAGGAGAAGGAGAGUAGUAUGGUGGUGGUGGAGAACUGUAGACAUACGGUGGUGGAGGAGACUUGUAGACUACCUUAGGAGAAGGAGAAUAAUAUGGUGGUGGUGGAGAACUGUAAACGUAUGGUGGUGGGGGAGACUUGUAGACUACCUUAGGAGAAGGAGAGUAGUAUGGUGGUGGUGGAGAACUGUAGACAUACGGUGGUGGGGGAGACUUGUAGACUACCUUAGGAGAAGGAGAAUAGUAUGGAGGUGGUGGAGAACUGUAAACAUACGGUGGUGGGGGAGACUUGUAGACUACCUUAGGAGAAGGAGAGUAGUAUGGUGGUGGUGGAGAACUAUAGACAUACGGUGGUGGGGGAGACUUGUAGUGUACCUUAGGGGAAGGAGAGUAAUAUGGUGGUGGUGGAGAACUGUAGACAUACGGUGGUGGGGGAGACUUGUAGUGUACCUUAGGAGAAGGAGAGUGAUAUGGUGGUGGUGGAGAACUGUAAACGUACGGUGGUGGGGAGGACUUGUACACAACCUUUGGAGAUGGAGAAUAACAUGGAGGAGGUGGUGGACAGACACAUACAUGAGGGUGUGGUGGAGAUUUGUAUAGAACCUUAGGGGAUGGUGCGUGGUAUG